rnacentral:rRNA from 1 species
UACGAAGGGGGCUAGCGUUGCUCGGAAUGACUGGGCGUAAAGGGCGCGUAGGCGGGUGCUCAAGUCUGUGGUGAAAUCCUCCGGCUCAACCGGAGAACUGCCAUGGAUACUGGGUGCCUCGAGGGUGAUAGGGGUAUGCGGAACUAUCGGUGGAGCGGUGAAAUGCGUUGAUAUCGAUAGGAACUCCGGUGGCGAAGGCGGCAUACUGGAUCACUUCUGACGCUGAGGCGCGAAAGCCAGGGGAGCGAACGGG